rnacentral:rRNA from 1 species
AGGACGAACGCUGGCGGCGUGCUUAACACAUGCAAGUCGAGCGGUAAGGCUCCUUCGGGAGUACACGAGCGGCGAACGGGUGAGUAACACGUGAGCAAUCUGCCCUUCUCAUCGGAAUAAGCGUUGGAAACGACGUCUAAUGCCGAAUACGACCUCCUUUCGCAUGAUCGGAGGUGGAAAGCUCCGGCGGAGAAGGAUGAGCUCGCGGCCUAGUCA